CUUUUCCUCCUUGUUUAUAUGGGCAACUGUUAAUCUUACUGGAGGAAACAAACAUAUCUGUCCUCUGAGAAGGUCCACCCAACAGCCAAUGAAAAGAGAUGCAGAGACCCAAACCACACAUUAGAUGGAGCUGCGAAACAUGAACUCUCUCAGGGUUCAGCUCUACUGUUCAAAUGCUCUGCCGUACCUUCCUCUUGCCAUAUUCUGUGCCACAAUGGCCAAGGAGUCUAAUUCAUAGAAAUGUAAGACAUCCCCCUCACUAAACUAUUUCUUUAGUAAAUUGCUUUGGUAAUUGCAUCACCAAUCAAUAGAAAUUGACUACAGAUAAGGCAUUGCAAAGAUUACUGUUGAUGGGUCACUCUCAGAAGAACGCACUGAAAUACCAAGAUCAACAUGGUCAAGUUGAGAAUAAAUGGA